rnacentral:rRNA from 1 species
GAUGAACGCUGGCGGCGUGCCUAACACAUGCAAGUCGAACGGCAGCACGGUCUAGCUUGCUAGACUGGUGGCGAGUGGCGCACGGGUGAGUAAUGCGUAGGAAUAUGCCUUGAAGUGGGGGAUAACUUGGGGAAACUCAAGCUAAUACCGCAUAAUCUCUAAGGAGGAAAGCUGGGGACCUUCGGGCCUGGCGCUUUAAGAUUAGCCUACGUCCGAUUAGCUAGUUGGUAGGGUAAAGGCUUACCAAGGCGACGAUCGGUAGCUGGUCUGAGAGGAUGAUCAGCCACACUGGGACUGAGACACGGCCCAGACUCCUACGGGAGGCAGCAGUGGGGAAUAUUGGACAAUGGGGGCAACCCUGAUCCAGCGAUGCCGCGUGUGUGAAGAAGGCCUACGGGUUGUAAAGCACUUUCGGUGGGGAGGAGGAUUCAUAGGUUAAGAGCUAAUGGAUUGGACGUUACCCACAAAAGAAGCACCGGCUAACUCCGUGCCAGCCGCCGCGUAA